rnacentral:lncRNA from 1 species
UGACUAAUGCCUUAGUUCGUGUUGGGCAAGUCAGCUGAUUAUCAUAUUCAGCUAUGCUGAUCCAAUCUAGUGAUGAUUUUCAUGCCUCCAGGAUUGCUUUGUGAAUGAAAGAAGUCGGAAUACCAAUUCUGAAAUCCUUGAAAGGCUCAAUAUUACUUUGCUGAAACUUAUGCUGCAUCCAUCCUAGAAACUGCAGCAACAACAGUAAGAGGUGAACUUAGCAGGACUUCAAACAUUUAUGCUACUGUAAGAAUCUAAUGCAUUGGAGACUUACCUUCAUUCUUUUCUCGCUUUGAAGAGCUUGUUUGAUGUCAGAUUGUUUUGGUUUUCAUAGGAGGAAUGUGUAGAGAUAGAUAAUUUAGACGAAUAAUGCAUGAAACAUCCAGGAUCUCCUCAUCAUUACUAGUAGCAAGCAAUCUGCCAGUGAUUGUUAGAGAGAAACAAUUAGAAAAAUACAGACUUUGGUUGGCUGGUCUCUGGCAAUAUCAAAUCAAAUUGAAAAGUUGGAGACUGGUUCCUGGACCCUUGCUUUCAUGACUGUCAUCUCUGUCCUGCAUUACAUGCAUUGUUGAAGUAUGUGCAUGGCUACUUGAAUGCAUACAAGAUCGGUACAGCCAUGACUUUACCAAGUCUAUCUUAUAUCAGAUUAUGAUACAUUGAGAAGCAUGCAAACAUAUUCAUAUCCAAAUUGGGUGCAUAUGAUCAAUGAGACUAGACAUUUCAUGUACAAUUACUUUAUGAUGUGUAUUUUUUUGUAGGAUGCUGCCACCAUUGCGAGGACUAGGGACGUACUUAAAGGUUUCUACCUCAAAUAGCUAAAAUAGCUCAAACAAUCUUAUAUGUUAGGAACUGCAAUUGUUGAUUUCACAGCUUAGUUCAGUUGAAGCUUGGUGAAAUCUGCAACAUUGUUCAACUCAACUGUUUGCAGAUUAUAAUUGAUAAUCAUGCAUUUUCAUAAAUUUUGUUCAUGGAAUUUCGUUAACACCAUGUUCCUUGUUCUUCUUAAUUAGAAAUCGUUAUAUUUUAGACCUUGAUUAAAAUGAGAACAUGGGCUACGUAGGACAGAGGCAAGUUUCACUUUAUAAUCUUGAUUUCCCUGCUUUACUUAUUGCGAAUGAUCAUGGUAAUACGUCUCUAUAUCUUGCAAUGUUACAGGCUGGUUACAGAUUAUUAGACACAAAUCUUAUGCAUGAUAUCAGGGUUAAUUCUAGGGAAAUGAUAGGGAAUUUUCUGAUUAAUUUCUUUUCUCUUUUAAGCCAUGUAAAUGUGUAUAUAUAGCCUUACUUUUGAGAUGAAUAGAUAACAAUUUCAUCAAGUCUCUUUUAUAUUUUACAUGGUUCCCUAAAUUGAAAAAAACUGAACUCCACCAUGCAGUAAUGUCAUCGUAGUCGUUAUCAUACACAUGGUUGGUGAUACUUAUAAUGAAUUUGCACUUGAUGCAGGCAUGAUAACGAGGCCAUUUUAGCAAUUGAAGAUUGGUACUAACAUGCUCUCUUGUUCUUGCAUUGAUAUUUUUGGAUUAAGAAACUUGCCAAUAUGACAGGGUUGCCGACACUGAUACUUCAGUAUACCCCAAAGCAUCUAAGAGUCUAAGAUGUUAGAGUGAGCCGAGGAGGAAGAUAUGGUUCGCAUCAAGACAAAAGCCACCCCAAAUUGUCUUCAACUUGAAUCCUAGAGCCCCCCAAAUUUGGAUGUGAGGGCAACUUUUUGUCAUGUGCCUCUGCAUAUAAUCAUGAUCCAUUGUGUUGAAUACUUAUCUUCAGUCAUAUCCUAUCAUUACCUAACAGUGAAAGUGCAGGGCCGUAUUACUUACAUUACAUGUAUAUUUGAUGACAGCUAACAUUGUUGUUAACAGUCUUUGUGAAUGAAACUUUAAAC